GGUGUUUGUUACGUUACCCUGCUAUGUGUUUCAAAGGAUUUUUCGUCAAAAAAUUUACGAUUGCUUUUUGUAUGUGGGGGUGUUUCGCCUUGUCAGCUAUGCCAGCUGCUGAACCAGCAGCCUGCAUUCCUGCUAUCAAUGUACCACAAGGGAUCCUGACACUUUAAGAAGGCCACUAUUCCUUACAUGAAGAUCACCAUCCAGUUGAAGUACUGUUAAUGGACCUCAAGCCUUUUGUUUAAGCUUAGUGAUGUGUUCUCUCGUCAGUCAACGACAGAGUCUUUAUCUACUUUGUGUUGCUAACCAUCAGUCCUCAGCAUCCCAGGUAUCCAGAUUUCCAUGUUUCUCUGAUUAGUCAACCAUCAUCCAUACCCUUCAGUUCUUCAUUGUGGCUUCUCUUCCUCUCUCCAUAGUCUGCUGAAUGCCAACAUUGAAUAAGGUUCAUCAUCAUUGCCUUUCCAUGCCAGCUCACAUGGAUAGGCUUUAACAACAUCUCCAUAUUUUUGGACUGCAAAUAUUCAUCUUCCUUCCGUACAACACUGCCGUUUUAACAAUUUCGGUAGUUUCGCCCCCAGUGGACCACACACAACUAUAUUUUCUUCGUCUUCCUGUCGUUUUUGUCUACGACUUCCCCUCAUCGUUGUCUCCGUUGACAUCUUCGCCUUCAUCUACGUCUCGUCGUCUUCGCCGUCUUUGUCUACGCCAUCAUCUCGUCGCCGGCUUCUCCUUCCCCCUUCACGUACGGAAUUCAUCGUGGAUCGUCGCUCUGGUAUUGUCUCGAAUUUUGCAUUGUUAUGUUUAAGUUAACCCGUUGGCUGCCACCCCGUUUGCGUCCCAUUUUUUUUGGUAGCUUGUAGGGACCGGCCGCAAUGGCCUUCGCCGCAAGGCGCCUUAGGCAAUGCACCAGUAGGGACUUCUCUUUGUCGAUGCGGUGGCGGAUUCCUGAGGGUGUGCAUUCCCUGUAAUGGAUUCCGUCACCAUGUCAGCCCGGACUUGUCUUCGGACAAGUCCCACCUUGUUCGCGAUCCUUAAGACGCGAUGCUUAGUUACUGUACUUUAAGCAACCUACGGGUUGCGUGGCCUGGCAGCCAACGGGUUAACUUAAGUUAAGUGUAUGAAUGUUAAUGUAAAUAUGUGUGUAUAUUUAUUGUUAUGUAAAAUAGUG